GGGGUAUUGUUCCUGCUGCCUGG
rnacentral:miRNA from 1 species